rnacentral:rRNA from 1 species
CCUACGGGGGGCUGCAGUGGGGAAUAUUGGACAAUGGGGGCAACCCUGAUCCAGCCAUGCCGCGUGAAUGAUGAAGGCCUUCGGGUUGUAAAGUUCUUUUGGUAGGGACGAUGAUGACGGUACCUACAGAAUAAGCUCCGGCUAACUUCGUGCCAGCAGCCGCGGUAAUACGAAGGGAGCUAGCGUUGUUCGGAAUUACUGGGCGUAAAGAGCGCGUAGGCGGUUUAACAAGUCAGGCGUGAAAGCCCUGGGCUCAACCCGGGAAUUGCGCUUGAGACUGUUUUUCUUAGAGUACGAGAGAGGUAAGUGGAAUUCCCAGUGUAGCAGUGAAAUGCGUAGAUAUUGGGAGGAACACCAGUGGCGAAGGCGGCUUACUGGCUCGUGACUGACGCUAAGGCGCGAAAGCGUGGGGAGCAAACAGGAUUAGAUACCCCAGUAGUC